CAACCGGCCAUUUCUUAAACCCUGCUUGAACCCUUCUAUCUGCUUCUCUACUCUUCGCUGGUGAAGAGCCUCUGCUCGGGAAAGUGCGAAAUGAAUUCACUCGCUGCGAGAUUCGCCAAGAUUCUCAGAGUCUCCACGUCUCAAGAGUUGGGUGUGCACAGAGCGUCGAGGUGGUGGUACUCGACCGGGGUUUUGGAUAGUGAGAAGGAUGAGGAGAAGAAGGACGAUGAUCUGGAGAUUGAGGAUGAUGACAUUCUAGUUGAAAAGAAUGAGUUACAGCCGCAUGGCGUGGAUCCAAGAAGAGGUUGGGGUUUUCGCGGGGUGCAUAAGGCAAUUAUAUGUGGAAAAGUAGGGCAAGCCCCCAUCCAGAAGAUUUUGAGGAAUGGUCGUAAUGUAACUAUAUUUACAGUCGGAACAGGGGGCAUGUUUGACCAAAGGACUGUAGGAGAGAGAGACUUGCCAAAACCUGUUCAGUGGCAUCGGAUUGCUGUGCAUAAUGGAUCUCUUGGAGCCUAUGCAGUACAACAACUUGCUAAAAACUCGGCAGUUUAUGUUGAGGGUGACAUCGAGACUAGGUUAUACAAUGACAGUAUCAAUGGCGAAGUUAAGAGUAUUCCAGAGAUAUGUGUCCGGUUUGAUGGUAAGAUUCGCCUGAUAAAAGCAGGAGAAAGUACCAGCAAAAUUUCUUUGGACGAUUUUAGGGAAUUAUUUUGACACAAUUGGCGCUGCUGUCAAAACCUCAUUCUCUGAGACACAAGGCAGCCGAAUCUUUAUGACCCUUCUUUUGUAGGGCUUACGAGAACAAUGUGGUGGAAGGAAGCACGUGUAAAAACACUCUUUGCUGUCAUUACUUGAAAGAUUCGGCCAUGACCUCACAUAGAAUUAGGAUUAGGGUUGGAGGGUGCACUGCUUACACUUCCGUAGUGAAUAUUAAGCCCGACGAUCCAGCCGGUUCAUGGAAUUAUGGUAUUGAGCUGCAAUGGGUCUGUCCAAGUUGAGGUUUUCUAUCGAGGUGCAGACCAAUUAGAAGUCUGUGUAGCUGUUGCUUCUUUGCCAUUAAUAAUGCGGUGUCGUAUCUCCUCCACAGCAUGUCAAAUUGGACAUUGAAAGAUGGUCGCAUGUUCUGUCGUGUCUUGUUAUCAGUCGUGUGCCGUAUCUUCUAUAAAUGUCCAUGCUUAGUUAGGUCCUGAGUAUGACCUUCUAAUUGAGUAAGUGAAGCUGGAGAUGGUUGACGAUGCUCAGAAUAAUGAUGUUUUCUUGGUCUUCUCUGCAUAAAUGUCAAUUUGGCUUUGUUUGCUGUAGCCAUGGAUGCUUCAUGGUUACUUCUCAAGUCAAUAAACUUGAAUCUUCUUAUG